rnacentral:rRNA from 1 species
ACGGGUGAGUAAUACAUCGGAACGUACCCAGUCGUGGGGGAUAACUAACCGAAAGGUUAGCUAAUACCGCAUACGUCCUGAGGGAGAAAGCGGGGGACCGUAAGGCCUCGCGCGAUUGGAGCGGCCGAUGUCUGAUUAGCUAGUUGGUGAGGUAAAGGCUCACCAAGGCGACGAUCAGUAGCAGGUCUGAGAGGAUGAUCUGCCACACUGGAACUGAGACACGGUCCAGACUCCUACGGGAGGCAGCAGUGGGGAAUUUUGGACAAUGGGGGAAACCCUGAUCCAGCCAUUCCGCGUGAGUGAAGAAGGCCUUCGGGUUGUAAAGCUCUUUCGGCAGGGAAGAAACGCUCUGGAAUAAUACUCCGGGGUAAUGACGGUACCUGAAGAAGAAGCACCGGCUAACUACGUGCCAGCAGCCGCGGUAAUACGUAGGGUGCGAGCGUUAAUCGGAAUUACUGGGCGUAAAGCGUGCGCAGGCGGUUUUGUAAGACAGGUGUGAAAUCCCCGGGCUUAACCUGGGAACUGCGCUUGUGACUGCAAGACUCGAGUACGGCAGAGGGGGGUAGAAUUCCACGUGUAGC